rnacentral:rRNA from 1 species
UAGGGAAUCUUCGGCAAUGGACGCAAGUCUGACCGAGCAACGCCGCGCGAGUGAAGAAGGUUUUCGGAUCGUAAAACUCUGUUGUUAGAGAAGAACAAGGACGUUAGUAACUGAACGUCACCUGACGGUAUCUAACCAGAAAGCCACGGCUAACUACGUGCCAGCAGCCGCGGUAAUACGUAGGUGGCAAGCGUUGUCCGGAUUUAUUGGGCGUAAAGCGAGCGCAGGCGGUUUCUUAAGUCUGAUGUGAAAGCCCCCGGCUCAACCGGGGAGGGUCAGUGGAAACUGGGAGACUUGAGUGCAGAAGAGGAGAGUGGAAUUCCAUGUGUAGCGGUGAAAUGCGUAGAUAUAUGGAGGAACACCAGUGGCGAAGGCGGCUCUCUGGUCUGUAACUGACGCUGAGGCUCGAAAGCGUGGGGAGCAAACAGG